rnacentral:rRNA from 1 species
UGGGAACGCGAAGAACCUUACCUAGACUUGACAUCUCCUGAAUUACCCUUAAUCGGGGAAGCCCUUCGGGGCAGGAAGACAGGUGGUGCAUGGUUGUCGUCAGCUCGUGUCGUGAGAUGUUGGGUUAAGUCCCGCAACGAGCGCAACCCUUAUUGUUAGUUGCUACCAUUUAGUUGAGCACUCUAGCGAGACUGCCCGGGUUAACCGGGAGGAAGGUGGGGAUGACGUCAAAUCAUCAUGCCCCUUAUGUCUAGGGCUACACACGUGCUACAAUGGCUGGUACAGAGAGAUGCUAAACCGCGAGGUGGAGCCAAACUUUAAAACCAGUCUCAGUUCGGAUUGUAGGCUGAAACUCGCCUACAUGAAGCUGGAGUUGCUAGUAAUCGCGAAUCAGAAUGUCGCGGUGAAUACGUUCCCGGGUCUUGUACACACC